rnacentral:rRNA from 1 species
UACAGAGGUCUCAAGCGUUGUUCGGAUUCAUUGGGCGUAAAGGGUGCGUAGGUGGCGCCGUAAGUCGGGUGUGAAAUUUCGGAGCUUAACUCCGAAACUGCAUUCGAUACUGCGGUGCUUGAGGACUGGAGAGGAGACUGGAAUUCAUGGUGUAGCAGUGAAAUGCGUAGAGAUCAUGAGGAAGACCAGUGGCGAGGGCUGGUCUCUGGACAGUUCCUGACACUGAGGCACGAAGGCCAGGGGAGCAAACGGG